rnacentral:rRNA from 1 species
ACGCUCGACACCUACGGGAGGUAGCAGUGGGGAAUAUUGCACAAUGGGGGAAACCCUGAUGCAGCAACGCCGCGUGAGUGAAGAAGUAUUUCGGUAUGUAAAGCUCUAUCAGCAGGGAAGAUAAUGACGGUACCUGACUAAGAAGCUCCGGCUAAAUACGUGCCAGUAGCCGCGGUAAUCUGAGCGGGCUGGCAAGGC